GGGGCUGUAGCUCAGUCGGGAGAGCGCCUGCCUUGCAAGCAGGAGGUCAGCGGUUCGAUUCCGCUCAGCUCCACCA
rnacentral:tRNA from 1 species